rnacentral:rRNA from 1 species
UACGUAGGGUGCAAGCGUUAAUCGGAAUUACUGGGCGUAAAGUGUGCGCAGGCGGCUUUGCAAGACAGAUGUGAAAUCCCCGGGCUUAACCUGGGAACUGCAUUUGUGACUGCAUGGCUGGAGUGCGGCAGAGGGGGAUGGAAUUCCGCGUGUAGCAGUGAAAUGCGUAGAUAUGCGGAGGAACACCGAUGGCGAAGGCAAUCCCCUGGGCCUGCACUGACGCUCAUGCACGAAAGCGUGGGGAGCAAACAGG